CCCUUAGAUGUUCUGGGCCGCACGCGCGCUACACUGAUGCAUUCAACAAGCCUAGCCUUGACCGAGAGGUCCGGGUAAUCUUUGAAACUGCAUCGUGAUGGGGCUAGAUUAUUGCAAUUAUUAAUCUUCAACGAGGAAUGCCUAGUAAGCGUGAUUCAUCAAAUCGCGUUGAUUACGUCCCUGCCCUUUGUACACACCGCCCGUCGCUCCUACCGAUUGAAUGUGUUGGUGAGGAGCUCGGGUUGGCAGCAGUUGGUGGUUCGCCACCGGCUAUUGCUGAGAAGUCCUCCAAACCGCCCCAUUUAGAGGAAGGAGAAGUCGUAACA
rnacentral:rRNA from 1 species